rnacentral:rRNA from 1 species
GACGUAGGGCGCGAGCGUUGUCCGGAUUUAUUGGGCGUAAAGAGCUCGUAGGCGGCUUGUCGCGUCGACUGUGAAAACCCGUGGCUCAACCAUGUGGUCUGCAGUCGAUACGGGCAGGCUAGAAUUCGGUAGGGGAGACUGGAAUUCCUGGUGUAGCGGUGAAAUGCGUCAGAUAUCAAGGAGGAACGAACCGGCUGGGCG